rnacentral:rRNA from 1 species
UACAGAGGUCUCAAGCGUUGUUCGGAUUCAUUGGGCGUAAAGGGUGCGUAGGUGGCGCGGUAAGUCGGGUGUGAAAUCUCGGAGCUUAACUCCGAAAUUGCAUUCGAUACUGCCGUGCUCGAGGACUGGAGAGGAGACUGGAAUUCAUGGUGUAGCAGUGAGAUGCGUAGAGAUCAUGAGGAAGACCAGUGGCGAAGGCGGGUCUCUGGACAGUUCCUGACACUGAGGCACGAAGGCCAGGGGAGCAAACGGG